UACGAAGGGGGCUAGCGUUGCUCGGAAUCACUGGGCGUAAAGGGCUCGUAGGUGGCCAACUAAGUCAGACGUGAAAUCCCCAGGCUCAACUUGGGAACUGCGUCUGAUACUGGAUGGCUUGAAUUCGGGAGAGGGAUGCAGAAUUCCAGGUGUAGCGGUGAAAUGCGUAGAUAUCUGGAGGAAUACCGGUGGCGAAGGCGGCAUCCUGGACCGAGAUUGACACUGAUGAGCGAAAGCUAGGGGAGCAAACGGG
rnacentral:rRNA from 1 species